rfam:Oryza sativa (indica cultivar-group) chromosome 1, whole genome shotgun sequence.
AAAAAAACAAACUCUAAUUUUUAGUGUCCAAUAUUUAACCGUCCGUCUUAUUUAAAAAAAUUGUGAAAAAAUUAAAAAGACAAGUCACGCAUAAAGUAUUAAUCAUGUUUUAUCAUCCAACAAUAAUAAAAAUACUAAUUAUAAAAAAAUUUCAUAUAAGACAGACAAUCAAACGUUAGACACGAAAACUUGGGUUUUUUUUUUGG